AUUGAACGCUGGCGGAAUGCUUUACACAUGCAAGUCGAACGGCAGCACGGACUUCGGUCUGGUGGCGAGUGGCGAACGGGUGAGUAAUGUAUCGGAACGUGCCCAGUCGUGGGGGAUAACGUAGUGAAAAUUACGCUAAUACCGCAUACGAUCUAUGGAUGAAAGCGGGGGAUCGCAAGACCUCGCGCGAUUGGAGCGGCCGAUAUCAGAUUAGGUAGUUGGUGGGGUAAAGGCCCACCAAGCCAACGAUCUGUAGCUGGUCUGAGAGGACGACCAGCCACAAUGGAACUGAGACACGGUCCAUACUCCUACGGGAGGCAGCAGUGGGGAAUUUUGGAAAAUGGGCGAAAGCCUGAUCCAGCCAUUCCGCGUGCAGGAUGAAGGCCCUCGGGUUGUAAACUGCUUUUGUACAGAACGAAAAGGUUUCUACUAAUACUAGGAGCUCAUGACGGUACUGUAAGAAUAAGCACCGGCUAACUACGUGCCAGCAGCCGCCGUAA
rnacentral:rRNA from 1 species